UACGGGGGGAGCAAGCGUUGUUCGGAUUUACUGGGCGUAAAGGGCGCGUAGGCGGCGUAACAAGUCACUUGUGAAAUCUCCGGGCUUAACCCGGAGCGGCCAAGUGAUACUGUUGUGCUAGAGUGCGGAAGGGGCUACUGGAAUUCUCGGUGUAGCGGUGAAAUGCGUAGAUAUCGAGAGGAACACCUGCGGCGAAGGCGGGUAGCUGGGCAAUUGCUGACGCUCAGGCACGAAAGCGUGGGGAGCAAAAGGG
rnacentral:rRNA from 1 species